AUUUUUCCGAAGGGUGCCAAUAAUUCUGGAAGACUACACAGUGUAUGUGGUCAUGGUGUUCAUUUAAUGAUUUACAUCCAUUAAACACUGUCUACUGUCACCAACAUACUGAUGAGGUUGCUCGCUGUGUUCAGUUGUAGUCAGGUGUGUUAGUGCAGUCAGGUGUGUUAGUGUGUUCAGGUGUGUUAGUGUGGUCAGGUGUGUUAGUGUGUUCAGGUGUGUUCGUGUGUUCAGGUGUGUUAGUGUGGUCAGGUGUGUUCGUGUGUUCAGGUGUGUUAGUUCAGUCAGGUGUGUUAGUGUGUUCAGGUGUGUUAGUGUGUUGUUUAGUGCAGUCAGGUGUUAGUGUGGUCAGUUGUGUUAGUCUGUCAG
ensembl:lncRNA